rnacentral:rRNA from 1 species
AUACGGAGGGUGCAAGCGUUGCUCGGAAUUAUUGGGCGUAAGGCGCGUGUAGGCGGUUUCUUAAGUCUGAUGUGAGAGCCCCGGGCUCAACCUGGGAAGUGCAUUGGAAACUGGGAGACUUGAAUACGGGAGAGGGUAGUGGAAUUCCUAGUGUAGGAGUGAAAUCCGUAGAUAUUAGGAGGAACACCGGUGGCGAAGGCGGCUACCUGGACCGAUAUUGACGCUGAGACGCGAAAGCGUGGGGAGC